CAGAACUCUGGUGGCCUGGAACCAUGGCCUGGACCCCUCUUUUCUUCCUUACUCUCCUCCUUUACUGUACAGGGUCUUUCUGCCAGCCUGUGCUGACACAGUCACCCUCUGCUUCUGCUUCUCUGGGAGCCUCAGUCAAGCUCACCUGCACUCUGAGCAAUGAGCACAGCAGCUACACCAUUGCAUGGUUUCAGCAGCAUCCAGGGCAAUCCCCUGUUUAUGUGAUGUAUGUUGGCAGUGGUGGAAACUACAACAAGGGGGAUAGGAUCCCUGAUCGAUUCUCAGGCUCCAGCUCAGGGGCUGACCGCUACUUAACCAUCUCCAACCUCCAGUCUGAGGAUGAAGCUGACUAUAUCUGUGGUGUAAGUCAUAGCACUGGGUAA